AUCAUGUUUUAAGAAUAUUCAUUUAUUUAACUUUUCUUCAGUACCUUUUAUGUUAAAGUUCUCCUGAUUAAUGACAAGUUUAGGAUAUCAUUUGAUAUUCAAUCGGAGUUGCUCUUGCACAGGCCUCCAAAUAAAUACUCGCCGGAACUAAAAUUAGUACCACUCGAGUCUAGAGUUAGCCACCACUUCGGUGCAGUUCGCCAGAGUUAGUCACCCCUUUUUGGUGCAAUUUUACUUCUUUAAAACGCAACGCGAAGCAAAUUUACUUUAUUUUACUUAAAAGACUAACUCUGCAUGGGAACACUUCAUUUUCAUUUUUACAUUUGAAAUUACUUUAUUUUUGAACUUCAGUUUAGAAAGUUUUCUGACUCCUGUUUAUUUCCGAC
rnacentral:lncRNA from 1 species